UGGGGAAUAUUGGACAAUGGGGGCAACCCUGAUCCAGCCAUGCCGCGUGUGUGAAGAAGGCCUUCGGGUUGUAAAGCACUUUAAGUGGGGAGGAAGGGGUGAUUAUUAAUACUAAUCAUCAUUGACGCUACCCACAGAAUAAGCACCGGCUAACUCUGUGCCAGCAGCCGCGGUAAUACAGAGGGUGCAAGCGUUAAUCGGAAUUACUGGGCGUAAAGCGCGCGUAGGCGGCUGAUUAAGUCGGAUGUGAAAGCCCCGGGCUCAACCUGGGAACUGCAUUCGAUACUGAUCGGCUAGAGUAUGAGAGAGGGAGGUAGAAUUCCACGUGUAGCGGUGAAAUGCGUAGAUAUGUGGAGGAAUACCGGUGGCGAAGGCGGCCUCCUGGCUUAAUACUGACGCUGAGGUGCGAAAGCGUGGGGAGCAAACAG
rnacentral:rRNA from 1 species